rnacentral:lncRNA from 1 species
UGUCCUGUACCAAGUCAGGAAUAUGGCCAUUGUUAUAUUAUAGUUCGUUUCUGUAUGUGUUACAUUUUAACGUUGCGUCGUUUGUUUUCUCUUAUUUUUAAGUGUAAAUUCACAUUGCGAUAAGACGUGUCACGGUACUUGUCUAUCCAAAAUUCAUGUAUUUGGUUUUGAUGUUAUAUUUGUUAUUUCUCGUGGGAUUUUGUCUGUUGCUUGGUCCGUUUCUGUGUGUGUUACAUUGUAGUGUUGUGUCGUUGUUCUCCUCUUAUAUUUAAUGCGUUUCCCUCAGUUUUAG